UGGGCGGACGGGUGAGUAACGCGUGGGUAACCUGCCCUGUACAGGGGGACAACAGUUAGAAAUGACUGCUAAUACCGCAUAAGCGCACAGGACCGCAUGGUCCGGUGUGAAAAACUCCGGUGGUACAGGAUGGACCCGCGUCUGAUUAGGUAGUUGGCGGGGUAACGGCCCACCAAGCCGACGAUCAGUAGCCGACCUGAGAGGGUGACCGGCCACAUUGGGACUGAGACACGGCCCAAACUCCUACGGAAGGCAGCAG
rnacentral:rRNA from 1 species